rnacentral:misc_RNA from 1 species
ACAGACGUGGCGGGGAUGGCAGGGCAGCGCUGACGUCCUGGAAUUAGUUUUGCUGUAGUUAGAGCUGUCUGUGGUGUCUCCAGAGGGCCGCAUGCGGGUGCUGAAGGUGCAGAAUUCCUCUCCCCCGGGGAGGCGGCCGUGGACUCCUAUCCCAACUGGCUCAAGUUCCACAUUGGUAUCAACCGGUACGAGCUGUACUCCAGACACAACCCGGCCAUCGAGGCCCUGCUGCACGACCUCAGCUCCCAGAGGAUCACCAGCGUGG